rnacentral:tRNA from 1 species
UGGGUGGGCGGCCCGGGGGAGGGCGGGACGCCCCUUUGCGGGAGGGGCGGGGUCCGUUACUGUGCACGUUCACAGACGUGCCGUGCUUGUC